rnacentral:rRNA from 1 species
UACGGAGGGCGCAAGCGUUGUCCGGAUUUAUUGGGUUUAAAGGGUGCGUAGGCGGCUUUUUAAGUCAGCGGUGAAAGACAACAGCUCAACUGUUGCAGUGCCAUUGAUACUGAAGAGCUUGAGUACAGAUGAGGUAGGCGGAAUUUAUGGUGUAGCGGUGAAAUGCAUAGAUACCAUAAAGAACACCUAUUGCGAAGGCAGCUUACUAAGCUGUAACUGACGCUGAGGCACGAAAGUGUGGGGAUCAAACAGG